ACCACAACUUCAAGUUCUUACCUCAUG
rnacentral:piRNA from 1 species